rnacentral:rRNA from 1 species
AACGUAGGAGACAAACGUUAUCCGGAGUUACUGGGCGAAAGCGUGCGCAGGCGGUCUGUUAAGACCGAUGUGAAAUCCCCGGGCUUAACCUGGGAACUGCAUUGGUGACUGGCAGGCUUUGAGUGUGGCAGAGGGAGGUAGAAUUCCACGUGUAGCAGUGAAAUGCGUAGAGAUGUGGAGGAAUACCGAUGGCGAAGGCAGCCUCCUGGGCCAACACUGACGCUCAUGCACGAAAGCGUGGGGAGCAAACAGG